UACGGAGGGUGCAAGCGUUAUCCGGAUUUACUGGGUUUAAAGGGUGCGUAGGUGGGUUUGUAAGUCAGUGGUGAAAUCUCCGAGCUUAACUCGGAAACUGCCAUUGAUACUAUAGAUCUUGAAUUAUCUGGAGGUAAGCGGAAUAUGUCAUGUAGCGGUGAAAUGCUUAGAUAUGACAUAGAACACCAAUUGCGGAAGGCAGCUUACUACGGAUAUAUUGACACUGAGGCACGAAAGCGUGGGGAUCAAACAGG
rnacentral:rRNA from 1 species